CCUACGGGAGGCAGCAGUGAGGAAUAUUGAGGCAAUGGGCGCAAGUCUGAUCCAGCCAUGCCGCGUGCAGGAAGACUGCCCUAUGGGUUGUAAACUGCUUUUAUACGGGAAGAAACGCCCCUACCUGUAGGGGCUUGACGGGACCGUUCCAUUAACACACCGGCUAACUCCGUGCCAGCAGCCGCGGUAAA
rnacentral:rRNA from 1 species